rnacentral:lncRNA from 1 species
AUCCCCAAAAGGACCAGAUGAGACCCAGAAAUUGGCCCAAGGUGAGAAGUCUUGUGACUUUUUUUUUUUAGUUGUAAAUGAACAGAGCACCUUUCUUUCUUCCUUUCUCUCUCUCUCUCUCUCUCUCUCUCUCUCUCUUUCUCUCUCUCUCUCUCUCUCUCUCUUUUUCUUUUCUUUUUUCUUUCUUUCUCCAGGAAUUGAACUCAGGAGCACUUGACCACUGAGCCAUACCCCCAGCUCCAUUUUGUAAUUUAUUUAGAGACAGGGUGUCACUGAGUUGUUUAGCACCUCGCUUUUGCUGAGGCUGGCUUUGAACACAUGAUCCUCCUGCCUCAGCCUCCUGAGCCACUGGAAUUACAGGUGUGUGCCACCGAGCCCGGCUACCUUUAUUUAUUUAUUUAUUUAUUUAUUUAUUUAUUUAUGUGUGGUGCUGAAGUUUGAGCUCAAUGCAUCACACGUGUUAGGCAAGCACUCUACCACUGAGCCACAGUGCAGCACAUCUUCUGACUUCUUCCUCUUUUUUUUUUUUGUUGUAGAUAAACAAGUUCCUUCCUUCCUCCCUCCCUCCCUCCCUCCUUCCCUUCCUCCCUCCCUUCCUUCCUUCCUUCCUUCCUUCCUUCCUUCCUUCCUUCCUUCCUUCCACGGGGGAUUGAACUCAGGGGCACUCAACCACUCACCGUAUCCCCAGCCCUAUUUUGUAUUUUAUUUGAGAUAGAGUCUCCCUGAGUUGCUUAGUGCCUGGCUAAAUUGCUGAGGCUGGCUUUCAACUAGUGAUCCUCCUACCUCUGCCUCCGGAGCUGCUGGGAUUACAGGUGUGUGCUACCACAUCCAGCCUGUCUUCCGACUUCUUAAUUGUGGGUUUGCAGCAAGAAAUAUUUCAAUCUUGUAGAGUGGAGGCUGAGGGUGACUUUUUUUCUUUGUGGUACUGAGGAUUGAACCCAGGUUCUUGUGCAUGCUAGGCAAGGGCUCUACCCCUGAGCUACAUCCUGUUUUUGUUUUUUAUUUUGAGAUGGGGUCUUGAUAAAGUGCCCAGGCUUGUCUUAAACUUGUGAUCCUCCUUCCUUAGCCUCCUGAGUGGCCACCAUGCUCAGCUCUGGGAGUGACUUUUAAGCUAAUGAUCAGAACUGAAGAGUAAAUCUACUCAAAACCAGAGUAAUUGGCCCAUGACUCCAGCAACUAGAUGCAACUGAAUUAUGUCCUGUGGUGAGCUCUCGAUACCGUGAUGAGUUCCACAGUUAGUCUCUGAAGUCAAAGUUAGCCAUUUUCUCCAGCUGGGAGAAGCACUAGAGCUAAAAUAUUCAUUUUUGCCCAUCAAGAAAGAAACACAGGAUCUCAGAAUCAAAGAAAUAUCAGUUCUUCCAUAACUUUUACUUGCCAUCUGGAUUUUAGAAAUAAAUCAGUUUAUUUCCAGCUAUUAAAUAGAGAUUGGGGAUGGGUACAUGGCACAUGCCUGUAAUCCCUGCAGCUCAGGAGGCUGAAGCAGGAGGAUCGCGAGUUCAAAGCCAGCCUCAACAAGUUAGCAAGGCCCUAAGUGCCCCUGAAUUCACUCCCCAGUACUGAGAGAGAGAGACUGGGGCUGGGGCUCAGUGGUAGAGUGCUUGCCUAGGCACUGGGUUCGAUCCUCAGCACCACAUAAAAAUAAAUAAAUAAGUAAAAUGAAGCGUUGUGUCUUUUUUUUUUUUUUGAGAGAGAAUUUUAAUAUUUAUUUUUUAGUUAUCGGCGGACGCAGCAUCUCUGUUUUGUACGUGGUGUUGAGGAUCGAACUCGGGCCACACACAUGCCAGGCGAGCGCGCUACCGCUUGAGCCACAUCCCCAGCCCGCAUUGUGUGUUUCUACAACUAAAAAUAUAUUUAAAAAAAAAAAGACAGGACUGAGCUGGGUGCAGUGGCGCAUAGAUGGAAUCCUAGCACCCCCAGUGACUGAAGCAAGAGGGUUGCAAGCAAGGCCAGCCUGGGCAACUUGUGAGACUGUCUCAAAAUCAAAAAUAAAAAGAGUUGGUGUGUGGGGCUGGGACUGUGGCUCAGCGGUAGCCCACUUGCCUGGCAUGUGUGAGCCACUGGGUUCAAUUCUCAGCACCAUAUAUAAAUAAAUAAAAUAAAGAUCUAUCAACAACUAAGGGAAAAAAAUUUAAAAAAAUAAAAAUAAAAAGAGUUAAAGAGUUGGUAUGUAGCUCAGUAGUAAAGCUCCCUGCUCAAGCCCCAGUACAAAAAAAAAAAAAAAAAAGGUUAACUGAGAGUAUAAUAAAAAUUGGUGUAGGUCAAUCAUUAACCCAACUUGGAAAGCUAUUCCUAUAUUUAUAGGGUCACUUGUAGCUUACUUCAUUUCCAGUAAAUUAGAAAAUAGGGUGGUAUCCAUGGCUCUGCCUGGGGACACACUAGAAUCUCUUAGUGCUUGGAACUGGAUCAUCACUUUGCUGAGUUUCUUAUUUGCAAAUACACUCCCAAAAUAGUCACCUUUGGUGUGAGCUGUUCUGCUCACACUGUUCACAGCACCAGGUACCCCAGAAAGCCUGGAGAAAGAGCUGUGAAAGGCCCACCUCUGUUCCUGGGGGGGCCACCGUGGGGAAACAGGCCCAGUGCUGGACAUGAGCUUUGAGCGCCCCAUUGGUUGCCUUUUUGCAUGCUCUGCGCAGAGGUUUGAGAAGAUACUACACGUCUUCUCCAAGGAAACUGUCGAUCUUGGCCCCUGGGGGGCAUUGCCAGGGGAGGGCUAUGAGCUGACCACUGGGCUGGCACAGGUUGGAAAGCUCUGGGGAUUUUCCUAUGAGCAUCUUCGCAGAUAUAGAGGCUGGAGGCCAAAAGGUGAUGUGGGGACUGGGUCCCCAGGUGUCCUGUGGCUACAAGUAGAGACAGUUCUGGGGCACUGAAUUCAGGAGUGUAAGACUCCUGGUGUAGCAAGAACAGCCGCCGUGCCUGGGCACAAAUGUCAGAGUGAGCCAGGCAGGGACAAUUCGAGAGCAAAGACCCUGUGCACCAGCCCGGACACAGGUGGGAUCGCUUCGCCUGUGGGGAGUAGAGGCAGAGAUCCUUGGGCCCACACCUCAUGAAGUCAAGUCCAGAUUCAAAAGCAGGUCGGCUCCUCCCCAGGGAUUCUGUGCACACCAUGCAGUGAGCAGCCCAGCCUUUGCCAGGACUCAGAGGCCCUGAAUGCAUUCUUUGUCAUGCUCCCUGCAGCCAGGCAGGGCCAGAGUUCAGGGGUCUGAGAGGAAAAGCUGAAAUGUGAGAAGCUGGGGUUUUGUGCCUAGGUUUAUUUUGGGAUAAUGAAAAAAGCUGUGAAUCCCAAGGGAUGCCAGGUAGAGCCCGGCUGUGUUGGUUUCUGGAAGGAAACCCAGGACAGCUGGGAGGAAGGGCUGUGGGAGCCAGGGUGCAGGGUUUCUGGGCUGGUGGAGGGAAGUGUACCUGAGCAGAGGGAAGAGCCAGAGAAGAGGACGAACUGUUGCCACCACGAGGGUCCAGGGCAGAGCCAAGAUGAAGGUGGAACAGUGGACACACUUGGGGUGGGGUGGAGGGUCUUCUUCCUCCAUUCCUGGCAUCUCCACCCUCCCUGCAGCUCAGGAUCAAAACUCUCAGCUUGGGGUCCUGGCAACUCUGGGGGUUGAGGCAGGUGGAUCUCAAGUUCAAGGCCAGCCUGGAAAACUUAAUGAGACCCUGUCUCAAUGUAAAAUAAAAUAAAAAUGGCAAAAGAAAAAAAAACUCCCAGACUCUCUCAUCUAGCAAGGUCAACCUCCAAAACAAAGAGCUUCUGAGAAUCGGGACACCCUGGUUGUCCCUGCUCCUGCUGGUCGCCCUCAGCCUGUGGUUGGCCUGCGAGCCCAGAGCCAUGCAGGGCGCCUGGGAGCCCAGAUGGCCCCUGCCCUCCACCCCAGCUCUCAGCACCCGCAGUUCUGAGUCCCCCAUGGCACUGGCCGCGUGUCCUCAGACAAGCACGUCCUACUUGUGUGUCUGCUCCCAGGGGCCUGGUCACUCCAGGAGGGCAGAGCUGUGGCCUGUUUUGCUUUUACUGCGGCAGCAUCCUCAGGCCGGAACAGGCUGGUGCUGAGAAGGGCCCAGGGGAGGGGCGGACGGGAUGCCAGGGAGGGGAGCGCCGACUGGGCAGAGGGAGCGCUUCUCCUGCCCGUGUGCGUGUGCGCAGCCCUCGACCGUCUGGUGAGCAGUCUGCUGCUCUCACUUCAUUUAUGCUCACAGAAUCCCACCAGGGAGGUAGAGCAGGCACCAUGAUCUCUAUUCCCAGAUGAGAAGCGAGGUGUAGAUUGGCUACCUGUGAGUUCACAGGCGAGGCCAGCUUUCCUCAUUCUCAAUACAGGGAUCUCUCUGGAGGCCAUGCCCACAGGCCACACUGGCCCACUCUGCUUUGGUAAAUAAAGUGUGAUGGGCACAAAGGCAUCUCCAGCUGUGACCUGUCAUCUGUGGUGGCUGUCAUGCUGCUGUGCUGCAGCUGAGAGGCUGUGCUGGAGACUGUGAGCCUCAGAGCUGAAGUACUCGCUCGCUCUCUCUGCCCUUUGCAGGGGAGUACGCAGACUGUACGGGCGGCAGUAGACCUCCGAGUGCUGCUCAGGUGCUCAGAGGUCCCAGGCGCCCUCUGUCAAGGUUCCUAUCGUGACACCCACCGGGUGCAUUCUCCCCUUCAUACCACGCUAACACAACAAGGGUGCAGAAACAGUGGUGGUUAUGUGGGUUCCUGGGGCUCCCAGCACAGACAAGCAGCAGAGAUGCAUCUUCCUGCAGUUCUGGGGGCCGAAGCCAGUGUCUGCAGAGCCAGCUCCUUGGGGGAUCUGGGGUGCUCUGUGCCUGGGGCUGUCUUCACCUCUCACUGCUUCUUCUCUGUGUCACCUUUUAUUCUGGCCCUUACUUGGACAUUGUCACUAGACUUGGCUGGUUUUGUUGUUGUUUUAGGGUUUUGGGGGGACUGGGGACUGAGCCCUCCUGCACAAGCUCUAAGCCUCUUUAAAAAAACCUUAGAGGCCGGGUCUCAAACUGUCCAGGCUGGCCUCAGACUAGUGGUCCUCCUGCCUCUCCCUCAUGAGUAGCUGGGAUGAUGGUCAUGGCCACCACCACUCCUGGCAGGAGACAGGAUCGUGCUGCAAGCACCGGAGGGUAGGCCCCUGAACUUCCACAGAGGGAGAGGCUCAUGGCCAAGCAGUCAAGGCCAGGAGGGUGUGCGUGGUCUUGACCCAGGCAUGCAGUACUUGGAACACAUCCCCUGCUGUGAAGACAGCCUUCAAACCUCCAGGAGUGUGUGCACUCUAAGGUUGCCUUGCUAAAAGAAGAUGAGGGUCGUUAGACAAUUGGGGAUGCUGCAUAGGCCAGGAGCCAUCAGGGUGAACUGAAGGGAAGGCUGCAUCUACAUGCAUGAGUGCUUGUGGGGAGAACACACAGGUUAUUUAUUUGAGGCAGGAUCUCAAACUCCUGGACUCAAGUAAUUCUCCUGCCUCAGCCUCCUGAGGAGCUGGGACCACGGCCUGUGAAAGUGCAGAUUAUAAAGCUGCAAUUAAAACUAUUUGUGCUAGGGAUGGUGGUGCACACCUGUGAUCCCAGAGACUCAGAGGCUAAAUCAGGAGGACUGCAAGCUGGACCCUGGCUGGGCAACCUAGCAAGACUGUAGAAAGAAAGAAGGAAAGAAAGAAGGAAGGAAGGAAGGAAGGAAAAAAAGAAAAAGUAUUUGUAAAAAAGAAAGCCUGGGCUGAGUGCUGUGGCACACCUGUAAUCCCAACAGCUCAGGAAGCUGAGGCAGGAGGAUCAAAAGUUCAAGGCCAGCCUCAGCAACUUAAUGAGGCCCUAAUCAACUUAGCAAGACCCUGUCUCAAAAAAUAAAAAGGUCUGGGGAUGUGGCUCAGUGGCAAAGUGCCUCAGAGUUCAAUUCCCAGUAGGAAAAGAAAGAAAAAAGAAAGAAAAAAGAAAGUCUGAAAGAAAGACACACAAUGAAACAUUAGUUUCUAUUGUGAUUUUAUUUUAUUUGAUUUUUUAGUAUUAAUGCUGGUAAAGAUGGCGCUUCUCUUCCAGGAGCUGAGGUCCAUGAUGCACUGAAUGGUGCGAACCAUCACCUCCAAUCCCUGUGAAUGGCGCAAACUUUGAAUGGCGCACCUCCAAUCCCUGAAGGGGCUCGAUCUCUCAGCCAAUGAAGAAGUAACAGCCCACUCGCCCUGCUCCUCCUCAUCCUGCGUUGAGCCCAUAAAUAUCAACACCCUGUUCUCUCUUAAUCUCUUGCUCUCCUCCCUCCCCUCCCCCUCCCCCCUUCUCUUUUGUGACUGCCUGCUACACAGGUAAAAGGUUGUUUUGGCUCCUUGAGUUUAUGGAGCUUUUCCACUGUUCCUACAUUAGGGAUUGAACUCAGAGGUGCUUUACCACUGAGCCACAUCCCCAGACCUUUUUAGUUUUAUUUGUUUUAUUCAGAGACAGGGUCUCACUAAGUUGAUGAGGCUGGCCCCGAGCUUGUGAUCUCCUGCCUCAGAGUCACUGGGAUCAUAGAUAUGUGCCACUGUGCCCAGCUUCUUCUGUGAUUUUGAGUGGAUUAAUGUAUUUGUGUACCUUUAGAUUUAUUUGUCAAUAAACACAUAUUGACACUUUACUACUGAGCUGUAUCCCCAGCCCUUUUUAUUUUUUACUUUGCUAAGUUGCCCAGUCUGGGCUGGAACCUGCACCUUCCUGCCUUAGCCUCCGGAUUCUCUGGGAUUGUAGACCCAAUAUAUAUCGACUCUUCCAUAGUGGAGGAAAAGUCAUUUUCAAAAUGGAAGAAAAGAGGGUCGUGGCUCAGCGGUCGUGGCCACAGCACACACACCCCCUCCCCGCUGUCCAGUAUAGCACUCGCC